GACACAUGGGUGUUUCAGUGUUACUUGACAUUUACUUAUUUAAUUAUUAGUCAUUUGUGCUAUGAACAGCAAGAUAAUAUCCUGUAGCAUUUUCAGUGGCAAGGCACGUUAUGAAAUAGUGAUAAAUACUAAUGCAUACUUACCUCAGGCCAGUAGUCUUUGGUUCAUUGACCAGAUGUUAGGGAAGUGUAUACUCCAGGUCAGUUAACUGAAUAGGCUGUUGUUUAGGGUGCGGCACUCUUGGGAGUAUCUUGUGGUCCCUGAAAACUCCAAACACAAUCCAGAGCAACUGCUUCUUACCUGAGCAGCAAUGUUUAGUUUUCUGUACUGUCACUUUUGUUUUCCUCUUUCUGAUGCCCAAAGUUUAUUCCUCACAGGCUGUAUUCAAACUUGCAUGAAAGGAACGUGGCUCACAACCCCUGAGUUUCUGGUGUAUGGUUGCAAAUGAUUAAAUAUGUUGCAGAGGAGAUUGUUGGAACUUAUAAUGAAGAAUAUGAAUUUAUAUAACCAGUUUUCUCAUGGGAACAGUCAAAAUUCUUCAUGACAAAACUUGCUGUCACUUGAUACGUCGCUUGCUCUCUACAGGAGUUGGCUUGUUUGUAUAUACAAAUGUAAGUGUAGUUUGAAGUUAUUUAGAAAAUGCUAAACUAGAUGAAGAUGCUAAUAAAAUCCUCCUACCAUUGCAGGAGAUGGAAUAGAAUGCAAGAACACUUUCACAAACACUUUACUUUUUACUGAUUACUGAUAUAUUCUGAGUGACAUGUUCUGGACAAACCUUAUGAGGGUAAAAUCCAGUGCUGGCGUUUCAGCUCUACUGUUCCCAAGCUCGCUUCCUACAUCUGUGCACUGUCCUGCCCUGCUGGGAUUAUCUUCACAGGGGAAAUGCUGCUCACAAGAGAGUGCCGCAGGCAGGUGACGCACAUAGAAGGGCAGAUCUGUAAGUGCUGCAAUAGAGUAAGUUUCUAAAAUGCUGUAAAACUGUCUGCUGUGUUUUUUAGGGAACGUGUAUUAUACCUCAUCAGGAAUCUUUUCCUCAACAAAAGCACUUGGCCUCUUAUUGUGACUAAGUUUCAAAUCAGAGAACUUUAGCCAAAAGAAGCUGUAAGAACUGACCUUUUUGCUAGCAACAAACCACUAAUU
rnacentral:lncRNA from 1 species